rnacentral:rRNA from 1 species
AUUGAACGCUGGCGGCAGGCCUAACACAUGCAAGUCGAGCGAGCGUCGGACGGGUGAGUAAUGUAUGGGGACUGCCCGCUAGAGGGGGGUAAAUCCUGGAAACGGGAGCUAAUAACGCGGACUAUAGGAAAAUACAUAUGGGAUUAGCUAGUAGGUGAGGUAAUGGCUCACAUCGGCGACGAUCCCUAGCUGGUCUGAGAGGAUGAUCAGCCCAACUGGAACUGAGACACGGCCCAGACUCCUACGGAGGCAGCAGUGGGGAAUAUUGCACAAUGGGCGCAAGCCUGAUGCAGCCAUGCCGCGUGUAUGAAGAAGGCCCUAGGGUUGUAAAGUACUUUCAGUGGGGAGGCGUUACCGACAGAAGAAGCACCGGCUAACUCCGUGCCAGCAGCCGCGGUAAUAC